rnacentral:rRNA from 1 species
UACCUUACAGGUCUUGAAUCCCGUGCCGCUUGGAGAAGAUUUUCCUUCGGACGCGGUGCAGGUGGUGAUGGUUGUCGUCAGCUCGUGUCGUGAGAUGUUGGGUUAAGUCCCGCAACGAGCGCAACCCUUAUCUUUAGUUGCCAGCAUUCAGUUGGGCACUCUAGAGAGACUGCCGUGGACAAGACGAGGAAGCUGGGAAUGACGUCAAAUCAUCAUGCCCCUUAUGACCUGGGCUACACACGUGCUACAAUGGAUGGUACACGUGCUSCUACCUCCGCGAGGGGGCAAAUCUCUAAAACCAAUCUCAGUUCGGAUUGAGGCUGCAACUCGCCUACAUGAAGUCGGAUCGCUAGUAAUUCGCGGAUCAGCAUGCCGCGGGAAUACGUUCCGGGCCUUGUACACACCGCCUGUCACACAGGGAGUUUGAAAACCCGGAGCGGGGUAACCACAUGGCAGCCCCAAGUGGGUUAGAUCUGAAAUGAGUCUAACAAGUAGCC